AUCGCUUCUCGACCUUUUGGCUAAGAUCAAGUGUAGUAUCUGUUCUUAUCAGUGUUUGAUUGCUAAAGUGAAACUGUAGACUGUGAGGAAAAUCAGGACCCCCA
rnacentral:snRNA from 1 species